GGCUGAAUUAGCGGCCGUAGAUUGCUUCUGAAAUGAAUGCACAAUUUACAUAUAGCGUUGAUCAAAAUCUACAUCUUUUAAACUGAAAUUGCUUACACUAAAAUUUGCAAAACCUAUGCCAGUUGUUGACUCCGGCACUUGUGGUGUUGGAUAUAAGCCAUUACCGUAGCCAGUAUUUGCACCUUUGUCGUUAAGUAGUGGCGUUAGAUUUUCAGGAAAAUCGAGAAAAUCUUUGCCGUAGAUGGCAUAGUUUUGUGCAGCUUGAAAAUACUCAGCACUUCCAUUCGGUGGAUGACCAGUGGUGUCUCCAUAAAUAGCGCGAUUCACCUCCUGCACGUAUGUGUUACUGCUACUGCGACGACAAUUUGAUUCCAAUUUUGAAUUCCAAUCAUUUUCCACAUCUGUCUGCUCACAUGUCCCAGCGGCUGUGAAAGUUUGGUGCCAAAUAGGAUCCGUGAGCUUUUUGGAUGUGGGUGCUGCUGGGGAAUAUGAUAGCACUCUCGUACGAUUCUUCUGGACUAUUCUGCUCCUCGUCCAUGUUGUUGCUGCUGUCGUCUUCGUCCUCACUCGUUGCUGAAAAAUUUAACCUAACUUGAAAUUUUUUAAAUUGUAUUUUCUACAGAAUACUACGCUGGACAAAGAAAUACGUAAUCCGUUGUAUUUGAAA